rnacentral:misc_RNA from 1 species
GGAAACGACAUUAGACAGUAGGGAAACCGUACAUGAAAAUAUAAAGACGGUAUGGAUUGUGCAUGAAAUUUGCAGACAGACAACUAACCAUAAAAUUAUCAAAGAGACAAGCCUUGCUCUAUGGGUCAUCGAAAUGGGAUCAAAAUUGAUUAUCCACGCUAGCAAUCCAUUUUACAGAAACUUAAUUUGAAAAUGCUAAUUGCAAAACUUGGAUACAUGCCAACCAAAACAAAGGAGCAUUUGCUUUUCACUAAAGCACUAAAAGAUUAAUCGUGUAUCAACUAGUCAGCCCAAAGAUAAACAGCUGGUACGAAACAAAUGAGUCCACAAAGAAAACUCGGAAAUGAACCAGUACAAUUCUCCAAACUGCUUUCCCAGAGCAAAAUCAUCAAAUCAAAUGUGGGAGUACUCCAAAUCAUAACCAGCGUCCAAACCAUACAAGAUACCCGGUAUCACGGAUCACUCUAUAACCAGAAACAUAAGAGAAGACAAUGAUAACAAAAAUCAUUAUAAA